rnacentral:rRNA from 1 species
GGCGACCNGGCGUAAGGGUGCGUAACGCGUAUGCAACUUGCCUGUCAGUGGGGAAUAACCCGGAGAAAUCCGGACUAAUACCGCAUACACUUUGGUUUCCGCAUGGGGACUUUAGGAAAGAUUUAUUGCUGACAGAUAGGCAUGCGUUCCAUUAGAUAGUUGGCGAGGUAACGGCUCACCAAGUCAACGAUGGAUAGGGGAGCUGAGAGGCUUAUCCCCCACACUGGAACUGAGACACGGUCCAGACUCCUACGGGAGGCAGCAGUGAGGAAUAUUGGUCAAUGGGCGAGAGCCUGAACCAGCCAAGUCGCGUGAAGGAAGACGGUCCUAUGGAUUGUAAACUUCUUUAGUAGGUGAGUACAAAGCAGUUACGUGUAAGCUGUAAAGCAAA